rnacentral:rRNA from 1 species
GACGAACGCUGGCGGCGUGCUUAACACAUGCAAGUCGAACGGAAAGGCCCUGUUCUUGUGGGGUGCUCGAGUGGCGAACGGGUGUGUAACACGUGAGUAACCUGCGCUUGACUGUGGGAGAACUCCAGGAAACUGGGGUGAAUAUCGGACAGGAGCUCCUUCUGCAUGGUGGGGGUUGGUAAGUUUCGGCGGUUGGGGAUGGACGGGAGGUAUAUCAGCGUGUUGGUGGGGUAGUGGCUUACCAAGGCAUUGACGGGUAGCCGGCCUGGGAGGGUGACCGGCCACAUUGGGACUGAGAUGCGGGCAAGACUGCUACGGGAGGCAGGAGUGGAAGAUAUUGCAAGAUGGGCGGAAGGCUGAUGCAGGGACGCCGCGUGCGGGAUGACGGCCUUCGGGUUGUAACCCGCGUUCGCGUGGGAAGAACAGUGAGUGACGGUAAUGGGUAAGGAAGCAACGGCUAACUACGUG